GGGGGGACAGGAAGGGAUCUUUUGGAAAAAACAGAAAUGUUCUAAACUUGGAUUCUGAUGAUGUUUAUACAACUCUGUACAUUUACUAACGAUAACUGAAUUGUAUGAUUCACUUAGAAUGGGUGAAUUUUAUGAUAGGUAAAUUACACCUCAAUCAAGUUGUUUUUAAAAUUUUUCAGUGGAUGAAGAAAGAGGCUGCUCUGGGUUCCAGAUCUGUCUGUUUUUAAAAUCUAUUUCACUACACCAGUGCUGGGAAACAGGAUCAGCUAUAAGAUUCUUCAGUUUCAUUUAAAUGAAAACAAACUAGUUGCUUAGCGGAAGAACUGCUUUAGCCAGAACCAAGAUUUAGAUAAAAUAGAUAUCAUGAUUUCUUGUGAAAGGGGCAGUGAGAUGUUAUGCGUAACUUCUAAAUUAGUCAUCAGAAGUGGAAGGAGAGGAAUGACUGAGCUACAUCAAACCCUUUCCUCCCGCACAUCUGUGAUCUUUCUCAUUUUAUAAUUUGGUUUAAGAGAUUGAACUUGUUUGAUUGUUUGUCUGCUCCCCACAACCCCCAGCCCUGGUGUGACAGGCUGGGAUUUUUAAAGCUAAGUGCAGGAAAGGGAAACUGAAGGAUAUUAUCACUAAAUGGCAAAACAAACAAACAAACAAACAAACAAACAAAGGCAGCAUUAAAAGCCCAGCUCAGUUAUCUCUUACUUUCUGACCUCAAAAAGCAAGGGAGAGGCUGGGCGCAGUGGCUCACGCCUACAAUCCCAGCACUUUGGGAGGCUGAGGUGGGCAGAUCACAAGGUCAGGAGUUCGAGACCACCCUGGCCAAUAUGGUGAAACUCCGUCUCUACUAAAAAUACAAAAAAAUUAGCAGGGCGUGGUGGCGCAUGCUUGUAAUCCCAGCUACUCGGGAGGCUGAGGCAGGAGAAUUGCUUGAACCUGGGAGGUAGAGGUUGCAGUGAGCUGAGAUCACGCCACUGCACUCCAGCCUGGUUGACAGAGCAAGACUCCAUCUCAAAAAAAAAAAAAAAAAAAAAAAAAAAAAGGAAAAGAAAAAGAAAAGAAAUAUUUUCAGGAUUGCAUCAGGCUGGGAGAGUUUCCAUAUUGCAUCGUUUAAUCCUCAAUCGUUUAAUCCUUAAUCGUUUACCGUGCUGGUAACCUCACCAAAAUAAUUCUGCCCCCAGCCUCCCAUUUUAAUGAUGUGGAAAGAGAGGCUUCUGGAGUUUUUAGGGCUUGGUGCCUGCACUAAGAGAUCCCAGAGUGACUGAAGAGCAAGUUUCACUUAAAGGCCCAGGUGGCACCCAUCUGCUAAGACCUUCCAGUGAACUUCACAUACUCCCCCCACUCCAUCCUCUUUUCCAUUGUGAAGAGAGGGAAAUAAAUAAACACUUUAAAUAAAGAUUCCAGGGAAUUGAAAACAUGGACAUCCGUGCUAACGUGAGAAAAGGAUACAGUGAAUACAUCAUCCUCUUUUUCACUGUGAAAAGAGGAAAAUAAACAAACGCUUUAAAUAAAGAUUCCAAGGAAUUCGAAAAUAUGGAUAUCCGUGCUAACAUGAGACAAGGACACAGUGAUUACACCACCACACCCAGCACACACACAAGUAUCAUUUCAGGAUAGGAUGAAUAAUGUGUUCAUUUUGUUCCGAAUCCUUGGAGAUUAAACUCUGAGAAAUACACUUUCAAAGACCAAAGUCAUUCAGGCUGUUCUCUUCUUGAGGAAAAAAAAAGUGAUUGAUGAUAUUGAACUAAAUAAAAGAGCUGGCAGGAGAAAAAGAGAGGCAGAUGCGGCAUUUAUAAGAGAGAGCUCCCAGGUGAUUACCAGUUCCUGUAACUUUUGUCUCUUUCAGUCAAGUGACCUGAUGGACACCUGCCUGCAGCUGCCACCUCAUCCCACACCUGGGGCUCUUUAGCACCACCUGCUGGUCAAGCCCUCUUGCUGGUUCUGGGGCCAGGGUAUUUAUAUACAGGGGUUAUUUAUAUAUUUAUAUAUAGAAGUUAUUUAUAUAUAGGGGCAUAGAUGAGUGUGACUCGAUCUGGUUCCUAGUUCUAUUCUGAUAAUCACAGAUGAUUCAUUUAUUCAUUCAUCUAUCUAUCCAUUCAUUCUCCCUUCCUUCCAUCAAACCAUCCACAAAAUCUUCACUGAUGAAUAUUCUUGCCAGGUACAGAUAUUAUGAUAGCCACCGGAUGAACACAGUUCCUAUUCUCAUGGAGGUGCCAGCCUAUACCAGUAAUUCUCAACUCUGCCUGCCUGAGAGCUUUGUUUUGUUUUGUUUUGUUUUGAGACGGAGUCUCGCUCUGUCUCCCAGACUGGAGUGCAAUGGCACGAUCUCAGCUCACCG
rnacentral:lncRNA from 1 species